rnacentral:pre_miRNA from 2 species
AGUGGCAUUUAAUGUUCUCUACGUAACAUUAGCAACGACGAGAACAGUAGAUGUCAUUGA